rnacentral:rRNA from 1 species
UACAGAGGUCCCAAGCGUUGUUCGGAUUCACUGGGCGUAAAGGGUGCGUAGGCGGUCGGGUAAGUCUGAUGUGAAAUCUCACAGCUUAACUGUGAAACUGCAUUGGAUACUAUCCGGCUCGAGGAAUGGAGGGGAGACUGGAAUACUUGGUGUAGCAGUGAAAUGCGUAGAUAUCAAGUGGAACACCAGUGGCGAAGGCGGCUUACUGGUCCGGAACUGACGCUGAGGUGCGAAAGCGUGGGGAGCAAACAGG